rnacentral:tRNA from 1 species
GGUAUUGUGCCGGAUUAAACGGACUACUUUGAUGAUGUAGAACAUGGAAUAAAUAUCUCAAUACCU